AUACGGAGGGUGCAAGCGUUAUCCGGAAUCAUUGGGUUUAAAGGGUCCGUAGGCGGGCUAUUAAGUCAGAGGUGAAAUCCCACAGCUCAACUGUGGAACUGCCUUUGAUACUGAUAGUCUUAAGUUACAGUGAAGUAGAUAGAAUAUGUAGUGUAGCGGUGAAAUGCAUAGAUAUUACAUAGAAUACCGAUUGCGAAGGCAGUCUACUAACUGUAUACUGACGCUGAUGGACGAAAGCGUGGGGAGCGAACAGGAUUAGAUACCCGCGUAGUCC
rnacentral:rRNA from 1 species